rnacentral:rRNA from 1 species
AUGAACGCUGGCGGCGUGCCUCAUCCCUGCAAGUCGAGCGAACAGACGAGGAGCUUGCUCCUCUGACGUUAGCGGCGGACGGGUGAGUAACACGUGCAUAACCUACCUAUAAGACUGGGAUAACUUCGGGAAACCGGAGCUAAUACCGGAUAAUAUAUUGAACCGCAUGGUUCAAUAGUGAAAGACGGUUUUGCUGUCACUUAUAGAUGGAUCCGCGCCGCAUUAGCUAGUUGGUAAGGUAACGGCUUACCAAGGCAACGAUGCGUAGCCGACCUGAGAGGGUGAUCGGCCACACUGGAACUGAGACACGGUCCAGACUCCUACGGGAGGCAGCAGUAGGGAAUCUUCCGCAAUGGGCGAAAGCUUGACGGAGCAACGCCGCGUGAGUGAUGAAGGUCUUCGGAUCGUAAAACUCUGUUAUUAGGGAAGAACAAAUGUGUAAGUAACUAUGCACGUCUUGACGGUACCUAAUCAGAAAGCCACGGCUAACUACGUG